UGCCAGACUCCUACGGGAGGCAGCAGUGGGGAAUAUUGCACAAUGGGGGAAACCCUGAUGCAGCAAUGCCGCGUGGGUGAAGAAGCACUCCGGUGCGUAAAGCCCUGUCAGCAGGGAAGAAAAUGACAGUACCUGGACAAGAAGCCCCGGCUAACUACGUGCCAGCAGCCGCGGUAAUACGUAGGGGGCAAGCGUUAUCCGGAUUUACUGGGUGUAAAGGGAGCGUAGACGGCCAGACAAGUCAGAAGUGAAAGCCCAGGGCUCAACCCUGGGACUGCUUUUGAAACUGCCGGGCUGGAGUGCAGGAGAGGUAAGCGGAAUUCCUAGUGUAGCGGUGAAAUGCGUAGAUAUUAGGAGGAACACCAGUGGCGAAGGCGGCUUACUGGACUGUAACUGACGUUGAGGCUCGAAAGCGUGGGGAGCAAACAGGAUUAGAUACCCGAGUA
rnacentral:rRNA from 1 species